rnacentral:rRNA from 1 species
CGUUCUCGUUAGAUCACCGAAGUUAUUAAGCAUCAUUGGGCGCGGUCAGUACUUGGGUGGGUGACCACCUGGGAACACCGCGUGCCGUU